ensembl:lncRNA
UAUAAAUGUAAACAUAACACACUAAGACUGAUUAUUCAGCAGCUUAGCUUAUAACAAAUAUGAACAUAGCAGUUAUUGUGGCAGCAGCCAGGUAAAGUGUAUAUAAAGUGUCUAUAGUGACAAUAAAUUAGAUACUAUAUUUUUAUAAUACAGUAGCAGCAAAAAAUGCAACAGUGUCAGUGCAGGAAUGUGCAAAUAUCUCAAUGGAAGUUGGAUGGUGUUCAGUUCAGAGAGAGAGAGAGAGAGAGAGAGAGAGAGAGAGAGAGAGAGAGAGAGAGUGUGUGUGUGUGCGUAUAUCAGUCCAGUCUCUGAGUAUUGAGGAGUCUGAUGGCUUGGGGGAACAAGCUGUUACACAGUCUGGUUUUGAGGGCCCGAAACCUUCGGUACCUUUUUCCAGACAGCGGGAGGGUGAAGAGUGUUUGUGAGGAGUGUGUGUGGGGGGAGUGUGAGGGGUGUGUGGGGUCCUCCACAACGCUGGUGGCUUUGCAGAUGCAGCGUGUGGUGUAAAUGUCUGUGAUGGAGGGGAGAGAGGCCCCGAUGAUCUUCUCAGCUGUCUUCACUAUCCGCUGCAGGGUCUUGCAAUCCGAUGAGGAGCAAAUUCUGAACCAGACAGUGAUGCAGCUGUUCAAGAUGCUCUCAGUAGUUCCUCUGUUGGACGUGGUGAGGAUGAGGGGUGGGAGAUGGGCUUUCUUCAGCCUUCGCAGAAAGGAGAGGUGCUGCUAGGCUUUCUUGGCUAUGGAGCUGGUGUUGAGGGACCAGGUAAGGUUCUCCGUCAGGUGAACACCAAGGAAUUUGAUGCUCUUGACAAUCUCCACGGAGGAGCCAUCGAUGUUCAGUGGAGAGUGGUCACUCCAUGCUCUCCUGAGGUUAACAACCAUGUCUUUUGUUUUGUCCACAUUCAGAAACAGGUUGUUGGUUCUGGACCAGUCUGUUAGCUGCUGCACCUCCUCUCUGUAUGCUGACUCGUUGUUCUUGCUGAUGAGACCCACCGCAGUCGUGUCAUCGGCGAACUUGAUGAUGUGAUUGGAGCUGUGCAUUGCUGCACAGUCGUGAGUCAGCAGAGUGAAGAGCAGUGGACUGAGCACACAGCUCUGGGGGGCUCCAGUGCUCAGCGUGGUGGUGCUGGAGAUGUCGUUCCCAAUCCGGACUGAUGGAGGUCUCCCAGUCAAGAAGUCCAGGAUCCAGUUGCAGAGGGAGGAGUUAAAGCGCAGCAGGUUCAGCUUUCCAAUCAGCGUGAAGACUGACCCCCCUCCCCCCCACAUCUCUCUCGUCAAGCCAUGGAUGUACGAUCCAGACCCAUUGACCCUGGUUCUUCUAAACAGAACCCUGGAUCUUCCUUUAAAAGGAAAACGGCGACAGUUCCCUCCCAGACCCCCUUCACCGGGCCCCUUCUCAAACGGCGUAAAGUGGAUUCUGGCACUCAAACAUGUUUAACGUACUGCCUUUCAGGAAAAGAGAACGGAGGCAUCCACACAGACACGCAUCACUGGUCCCCCCAAGGAGAGGAAUUAACCCAUCCACUCAAACUUCUGUUUUGGUGCCAUUCAUAAAGAAAAGAUAUUCAGAUGCGGCCGUCCAAACGUACUACAGAAUGUCAUGUGGUACGCAAACUCCCCAGAUCCCUACUGCUUCUAAGGCACCCAGGCCACCCGAAUCCCCUGGCCGUGAAGAGGAAAACCAUGCAUCCCCGAGAUCUUAUGUAAAACCCAUGACUGUUAAAA